UGGAUACUUGUUAUGGAGAAUCAAAACUAUACAGAGAGGCAUUUCUAAUGAGGAAUAUAAUUUGAAGGCCAGAAGAGACCAGGAAAGGUGUCUACGUCUCAAGUACAGAUAUCUUCUAAAAGAGUGGAACAAGCAUUGCGCAUCUUCAAGACAUCACUGGAAGUGCUCACCUCUGUCUCCUGGCUCUGGGAAGAAUUAUUCAGUUCACCAGUACUUCAGUAUGCCAUUCCAUGCAAGCCAGCAGAGAAGGCAUUGCUGGCCCUGACGGCCCACCACUGGAGUUUUCAGUUCCAGAACACCUGAGCUGUGUUAGUUCAAUCCACUCUGAGUAGGCUGACUCUGACCCUGCGUUCCAUCCAGAAGAGCUCAUCGUGUAUUAAAUAAAUUCAAUGCACACAGACUGAAGUAUUUUAAGUCUUUGGUUCUUUUAAUUGUGAUGAUUUUGGUUCACAUUUAACA
ensembl:lncRNA